CGUGCAAGAAGGUGUGUUGGGUAUGGUGACACAUGUGAGGAUGGCGGCAGCAAAAAAAAAGAAGCUGGACAUAAGGAGCUUUUUUUCAAAGAAAAGUGUGACAGAACCUAAACAACUGUGCUGUGUAUCAGACAGUGAUGGAGAGAAGGGGUCACAGGGGACAGAAGCAGAUCAGCCAUGUUGUAGUUCAGGUGAAGAGGCAAGGUCACAGGAGGUGAAUCUGAAUGUUGAUUAUAUAUAACAUAUAAUAUGUGUGUGUGUAUUAUACAUGUUGAUUAUACUAAUAUUUAACAUUAUGAGGAGUGAUAGGCUGAGGAUGUAAGUGAUUCAUUAGUGUUUUUGGCAAAAGUUUUGAACUGACAUGUCUCACUUUUUUGUCACGCUAUUUCAUCAGGUGGCAAUCCUGUCAGGUACUAGUGCAGU